GGAUUUGGCUAUUGCUGGUCAUGUAAGUCGUUUUGGUCAUUAGUAAAUUAGAAUUGCAGUUCAUUUAGAUUCUGCUAAUUUAUGUAUUGUUUUUGGUUUAUCUAGUUGGAUUAAUUAGGAUUCUAAGGCCUCAUUUUAUCAGAUUGAUAGUGUUUGGCAUGAGAGUGAAUUUUGGUCACGGAGAGAGCAGGAAAAUGAAAGAGAGGGGGAGGGAGGUUAAUGAUUGAAUUGUGCCAUUUCUGUUACUUCAAUGUUAUUUUCUGUAUGUAUCUGCUGAGAUAUAGUAGCCUCAUAAUGGUUUCCAUUGUUCUUCCUUUCAAUGUCUUCCCCAUCUCCCCUCUCCUUUUUUU
rnacentral:misc_RNA from 1 species